rnacentral:rRNA from 1 species
ACCUUCGGGAAAACUGAGGGAAUAAWUUACCUAUUAGAUUCGAUGCUGGAAUGCCGGUAUCCAAGCUCGCGCUAGGAUGAUCUGCGCCGAUUAGGUCGUGUUGGGGUAACGGCCACAAGCCGAUAAUCGGUACGGGUUGUGGGAGCAAGAGCCCGGAGUUGGAUYUGAGACACGAAUCCAGGCCCUACGGGGCGCAGCAGGCGCGAAAACUUUACAAUGCGGGCAACCGUGAUAAGGGAACCUCGAGUGCCUGUACAUGCAGGCUGUCUGGGUGUCUAAAACACACCCAAAGAAAGGGCCGGGCAAGACCGGUGCCAGCCGCCGCGGUAAUACCGGCGGCUCGAGUGGUGGCCACUUUUAUUGGGCUUAAAGCGUUCGUAGCUGGGUUGUUAAGUCUCUUGGGAAAUCUGGCAGCUUAACUGUCAGGCGUCUAAGAGAUACUGGCAAUCUAGGAACCGGGAGAGGUGAGGGGUACUUCGGGGGUAGGARWGAAAAACMWRWAAUCCUCGAGGGACCACCUGUGGCGAAGGCGCCUCACCAGAACGGCUUCGACAGUGAGGGACGAAAGCUGGGGGAGCAAACCGGAUUAGAUACCCGGGUAGUCCCAGCCGUAAACGAUGCGCGUUAGGUGUGUCGAUGACCACGAGUCAUCGAGGUGCCGAAGGGAAACCGUGAAACGCGCCGCCUGGGAAGUACGGUCGCAAGGCUGAAACUUAAAGGAAUUGGCGGGGGAG